rnacentral:rRNA from 1 species
AUUGAACGCUGGCGGCAGGCUUAACACAUGCAAGUCGAGCGGGGAAGGGUAGCUUGCUACCUGACCUAGCGGCGGACGGGUGAGUAAUGCUUAGGAAUCUGCCUAUUAGUGGGGGACAACAUUCCGAAAGGAAUGCUAAUACCGCAUACGCCCUACGGGGGAAAGCAGGGGAUCUUCGGACCUUGCGCUAAUAGACGAGCCUAAGUCAGAUUAGCUAGUUGGUGGGGUAAAGGCCUACCAAGGCGACGAUCUGUAGCGGGUCUGAGAGGAUGAUCCGCCACACUGGGACUGAGACACGGCCCAGACUCCUACGGGAGGCAGCAGUGGGGAAUAUUGGACAAUGGGCGAAAGCCUGAUCCAGCCAUGCCGCGUGUGCGAAGAAGGCCUUUUGGUUGUAAAGCACUUUAAGCGAGGAGGAGGCUACCGAGAUUAAUACUCUUGGAUAGUGGACGUUACUCGCAGAAUAAGCACCGGCUAACUCUGUGCCAGCCGCCGCCGUAA